GACGCAAGCUUUCUUCUUUCUUAACACAUGCAAGUCGAACGGAAAGGCCCUGCUUUUGUGGGGUGCUCGAGUGGCGAACGGGUGAGUAACACGUGAGUAACCUGCCCUUGACUUUGGGAUAACUUCAGGAAACUGGGGCUAAUACCGGAUAGGAGCUCCUGCUGCAUGGUGGGGGUUGGAAAGUUUCGGCGGUUGGGGAUGGACUCGCGGCUUAUCAGCUUGUUGGUGGGGUAGUGGCUUACCAAGGCUUUGACGGGUAGCCGGCCUGAGAGGGUGACCGGCCACAUUGGGACUGAGAUACGGCCCAGACUCCUACGGGAGGCAGCAGUGGGGAAUAUUGCACAAUGGGCGGAAGCCUGAUGCAGCAACGCCGCGUGCGGGAUGACGGCAUUCGGGUUGUAAACCGCUUUCGCCUGUGACGAAGCGUGAGUGACGGUAAUGGGUAAAGAAGCAAAGGCUAACUACGGG
rnacentral:rRNA from 1 species